rfam:Bacillus sp. MTM 116 61, whole genome shotgun sequence.
AGAGAAGUACCCAAGUGGCUCAAGGGGCUCCCCUGCUAAGGGAGUAGGUCGGGUAACCGGCGCGAGGGUUCGAAUCCCUUCUUCUCUG